GGAGUUAGCCGGUGCUUCUUCUGUGAGUGAUGUCCUUCCUGCCGGCUAUUAACCCGCAGGCCUUCUUCCUCACUGAAAGUGCUUUACAACCCGAAGGCCUUCUUCACACACGCGGCAUGGCUGGAUCAGGGUUGCCCCCAUUGUCCAAUAUUCCCCACUGCUGCCUCCCGUAGGAGUCUGGGCCGUGUCUCAGUCCCAGUGUGGCUGAUCAUCCUCUCAGACCAGCUACGGAUCGUCGCCUUGGUGAGCCGUUACCUCACCAACCAGCUAAUCCGACAUAGGCUCAUCCGAUAGCGCGAGGCCCGAAGGUCCCCCGCUUUCCCCCGUAGGGCGUAUGCGGUAUUAGCCUGGGUUUCCCCAGGUUAUCCCCCACUACCGGGCAGAUUCCUAUGCAUUACUCACCCGUCCGCCGCUCGCCACCAGGGAGCAAGCUCCCCGUGCUGCCGCUCGACUUGCAUGUGUUAGCGUCGCCGCCACGCGUCAACUACUGAGCCACUAAUACAAACUACUCGA
rnacentral:rRNA from 1 species